rnacentral:rRNA from 1 species
ACUCAAAUGAAUUGACGGGGGCCCGCACAAGCGGUGGAUCAUGUGGUUUAAUUCGAAGCAACGCGAAAAACCUUACCUGGGUUUGACAUCCUCAGACAGGUGUAGAGAUACAUCCUUGAUAGCAAUAUCACUGAGUGACAGGUGCUGCAUGGCUGUCGUCAGCUCGUGUGGUGACAUGUUGGGUUAAGUCCCGCAACGAGCGCAACCCUUGUCUUUAGUUGCCAGCAUUAAGUUGGGCUCUCUAAAGAGACUGCCGUGGUUAACACGGAGGAAGGUGGGGAUGACGUCAAGUCCUCAUGGCCUUUAUAUCCAGGGCGACACACGUGAUACAAUGGACGGUACAGAGGGAAGCCAAACCGCAAGGUGGAGCCAAUCUCAAAAAGCCGUUCUCAGUUCGGAUUGGAGUCUGCAACUCGACUCCAUGAAGUUGGAAUCGCUAGUAAUCGCGGAUCAGCACGCCGCGGUGAAUACGUUCCCGGGCCUUGUACACACCGCCCGU